UCGGGAAUUUUGGGCAAUGGGCGAAAGCCUGACCCAGCAACGCCGCGUGAGGGAUGAAGUAUUUCGGUAUGUAAACCUCGAAAGAAUGGGAAGAAUAAAUGACGGUACCAUUUAUAAGCUCCGGCUAACUACGUGCCAGCAGCCGCGGUAAUACGUAGGGAGCAAGCGUUGUUCGGAUUUACUGGGCGUAAAGGGCGCGUAGGCGGCGCGGUAAGUCACUUGUGAAAUCUCUGAGCUUAACUCAGAACGGCCAAGUGAUACUGCUGUUCUAGAGUGCGGAAGAGGCAACCGGAAUUCUUGGUGUAGCGGUGAAAUGCGUAGAUAUCAAGAGGAACACCCGAGACGAAGGCGGGUUGCUGGGCCGACACUGACGCUGAUGCGCGAAAGCCAGGGGAGCAAACG
rnacentral:rRNA from 1 species